CGGAGGGAAUCCAUGGGGAUUCGGUGAGAACUGUUGAAACAUUCUCAUGGCUAUAAGAGUUUUGUAUCAGCCUUUCUUUUUGGCGUUUUCACUUCAUCAUAUUGAGAAUGACCUUACGGUUUGGAUAGCAUAUAAACUCAGCCCCAGCUCUCUGCCUCAUCCAAAACCCUAACCUUACUUCCCCAAAAUCCUUCCGCCACAACGCCCUCUUGUUCAACCUCAUCAUCUCCAAGCUCUUCCCCGACAUGGAGCAGAUCCUCUUCUAGAUGAAGCAGUAGCAGCACCGUUUCGUCCCCAAAGAAUCCCUCUUCUGCCACGUCAUCUCCUCCUAUGGCUGCUCCUGCAUGCCCGGCCCCGUCCUCCUCACCUUCGACCAAAUCCCUUCCUUUGGCUUCCAAAGAAUAGUCACAUCUCUCAAUUUCCUUCUCAGUGCACUCUUGGGUUGUAGAGAAUUCAAAAAUUUUCAGGAAUUUUAUCUGCAUCUUGAUCGGGCUGCAGAGAAGAUGAAACCCAAGGAAUUGGAAUCUCAGGUCCCUGAGAAAGAUGUUUCCAAAGACAAGCAUUGAUUUAUCUUAGGCAGGUAGUUUGUAGUAUUAACUUGCUGCUUUGCUUGUAAAUCUUGAAACAUCACCUUGGUCUAGAGCAGAGGAAUUGUAGGAUCUUCAACGCGAGGCAAUUUCACAUCUUACUUGGGUUAUCAAUUAUGAUUUUUUUUUUUCCUUGAUUGGAAUAUCUUAGCCCCAGAAUCUUGGAUCUCCCUUUAGUCAAAUGUUGACUUUUGCUGAAUCCCUUUUCGUAGCCAUAAAUCUGUAGAUAAGAAAUUCAAAGGUUAUUGGCCAUGGUGGGGUCUUAUAUAAUUCCUCUUGGGAGCAAGGUUUCAAAUCUUGGACAUUGACUUGUCUGGAGCAUAUGAACAUUUCAUGGGGUGACAGUUUUCAACCAACAAGACCAUAUGGACUCUAUUUCCUCCAGUUGUUAACAUGUUAGUGCAGAAUCAUAUGAGUGAAUUAGAAGCUUGGUUUUCAAGGA